UACGUAGGGUGCAAGCGUUGUCCGGAAUUAUUGGGCGUAAAGAGCUCGUAGGCGGUCUGUCACGUCGGCUGUGAAAACCCGAGGCUCAACCUCGGGCCUGCAGUCGAUACGGGCAGACUAGAGUUCGGUAGGGGAGACUGGAAUUCUUGGUGUAGCGGUGAAAUGCGCAGAUAUCAGGAGGAACACCGGUGGCGAAGGCGGGUCUCUGGGCCGAAACUGACGCUGAGGAGCGAAAGCGUGGGGAGCGAACAGG
rnacentral:rRNA from 1 species